rnacentral:rRNA from 1 species
ACAGCAGUAGCCGCGGUAACACGUAGGUCCCGAGCGUUGUCCGGAUUUAUUGGGCGUAAAGCGAGCGCAGGCGGUUAGAUAAGUCUGAAGUUAAAGGCUGUGGCUUAACCAUAGUACGCUUUGGAAACUGUUUAACUUGAGUGCAAGAGGGGAGAGUGGAAUUCCAUGUGUAGCGGUGAAAUGCGUAGAUAUAUGGAGGAACACCGGUGGCGAAAGCGGCUCUCUGGCUUGUAACUGACGCUGAGGCUCGAAAGCGUGGGGAGCAAACAGGAUUAGAUACCCCUGUAGUCCCUGUCUCUUAUACA